UGAAGUGUUCAACCGACACUAUUCAUUAUCUUUAUCAAUGAUCAACCUAAACUUCAUCGGUUUUAACUUACUAAUUUACCUAGUCAUUAUUUCUUGACCCUUCAUCUUCCAUUGAAGGAGUAUAUAUAUUCCCCAUCCCUUCUUCCUUACUUUCAUCAUUCACACUUCUCCACGAAACUACUACUCCAUAUCAUAGACGGAGGCUACAUAGGUGACAACACUCAAGAAAGUUUAUAGUUCCAGGUACUACGUAUUUCGGGUUUUACGUUUUGCCAGGUAAUUAUCGAUGUCCAUCGUUACAAGGAUCCCGUUAGGGAACAAUUUUACGUCCUAUAAUACAUUAUAUAGGUGAGAUUAUUAAGUAUGGGUUAUGUAUUUGCAAGGUCAAAAAAAAAAGUGUCAGUUCACUAUUAUCUACUACGUACCUUAUUAAUUACUAUCUAUUUUAACUUUGGGUACAAUAGUUUGUGAUUGAACUAUUUAUAGAGGUUAAUCAUUUCGUACGUUUUGGUCUAGAAAUGAAAAAGUUUUGAACUGUACUCAAAAUUAUUGAGUUAAGAUAUUGAAUGGUUUAUAUGGGUUAUCCAAGUGAUGCUUAAGGUAACUCUUGUAAUGAGUAUGUUCGAUGCUGAGGUCAAAUACCCCUUUUAUAACUUGAAUUGUAUUCGGUUAUUUUACUAGGUGUAUUAGACUCCUUUAAAACUAUUAAAAACGUAAAGUGGAAUAAUUUAAGAGGGGAAAUAAACCCGAAAUGGUGAUGAACAGGUUGCCCUACUAGAUGUUGUUUUAUUGAGUACAUGUGUCGCUACUCAAUAGGCUUCUAGUAGGUUCCGUAUUUCUCUAUCAACUCUCUGUCAUAAGUCUUCCUCCUAAUUAUGAAGUAUUAGUGAGGGGUGUGCACACUAGGGACAUUUUGUCAUCUUGAUUACUUGGCCAUCAUUUAAGGGUGACGCGCAACCCUUUCUUAGUAGGUGGUUACUUUGGGACUAGUCCCGGCCUACUAGCGUUCUCUUUUCCUCUCUUAAAUAAAAUAUAAAUUAUUGUUUGUCGUCUGAUUAAUGGAUAUAUCUAAUUUGGGUACUAUAUUUUGUUUACCUUUAAAUCUAAAAGUUUUUAAAAUAAAAUUAUUUAUUUUACGGGAUGGAGUCGUGAUUACUCAGUUUUCCUGAUUUUUGGGAGUUUGUCUCUCUUUCUCUUUUCUUAUGUAUUUUGCAGGUUGAGUAUGGGACACGACUCGAGUGAGGGGGAACGUUAGAAUAAAUCACUUAGUCGAACAACGUUUCAAGUUUAUUAUUUUUCGAGGAACAUUUUCAUAGAUUGGGUUGUAAUUACUUUCACUUAAUUUAGACCACUUAGUUAAUGAUAAUAAUCACGAGUUAAUUAUAUUUGUUGGUGUACCGCAUUCAUUUUCGAGAGGAAAUGGAUUCUAUGUAAUACUCCCAAGGUUUGGACGGUCUAUAUUGAAAGGUCCAAAUUUUGGAGGUGUUACAGGUAUGUAUCACUCAUGAUAUCAACACUCAACUGAGUUCCAUCUGAUUGCAUUUAACAUCUCACUGCUUACACCUCCAAUAUCCCCAACUGUAUCAUCCAAGGGAGUAUCUCCAGUUGCAGAAGAAUGAACAUUAGCAGCAAGUCUGUCUCCAUGUGACUGAAGUUUUGGAUGCUUUGAUAGAGUUGUACCAGUCAGGAUAACCAAUGAGUUUAAAACAUUGAUCAGCUGUAUGACCUUUUCCUUUACAGUGUGUACACACUCUAUACAUCUUUUCCUUCUUCAAUUCUUUCCAGUCUUUCUUUUCAGAACCAUUACCAAACUUCUAAAAUUGUCCACCCUUGUGAGUUUGUGCAGCCAUUGCACUGCUACUCAGAACAGUUGCUUCAUUGGUCAUAUUAUUCACUUCCUUCUGUUUUUCUAUUUGUUGAGUGAUAACAAAUACUCGAUUAAUGCUUGGCAAAGGAUCUAUGGAUAACACAUUGGUGGCAGUGCCUUCAUAUCCUCCAUUCAGUCCAUGCAAAAAUUUCAUCAUCUUGUCUUCUUCCUCAAAUUCAGCAAUCUUUUUCAAGAACAUACAGCUACAUGUAUUUAAAGCUCCACAAGUGCAAGUAGGAAAAGCUCUCAGAUUCUGCAUUUCAUACCAAAGUUUCUUCAAUUUACCAUAAUAUGUAACUAUACUUAAAUUCUCUUGA